rnacentral:ribozyme from 1 species
AAGUAAAAGAGAGACAAGAAAAAAGAACAUAAAUAGCGAUGGGGACGCUGGGGCAGUGGCUCGCGAUUGCUUUUUUAUGUGGACGCUGGUGCAGUGGUGGCACACAUUUUUUUUUUUUUUUGCUUCCUUUUUUGCUUCUUGU